AUGGUUUUCUGGGUUUUUGGCUAUGGUUCACUAGUAUGGAACCCAGGUUUUGAAUAUGAUGAGAAAGUGAUUGGAUUUAUCAAGGAUUACAGGCGUGGUUUUCUUUUUGAUUUUGGCAUGUUUGUGUAUUAAUUUGAAGUUAUUUUUAUCAAUUACAGUAAUAAUCUUGGUUUUUUGUAGUCUUUAACUGUUCAGCUGUUGUUAACAAAUCUCAUGUUCUGUACGCCAGCUUGCACGUUGGAAAAUGUUGAAGGAGCUGUUUGCGUCAGUGGUGGUGGUGGUCAGCCAAGAAUGCUCAUCUUUUUAGCGGGGAGCUGCCUCCUGUGUACGGGGAGGUCCUGAAACGGAAAGAUUAGCUAUGGAGUACAUGGAGAGGCUAGAAUGCGAUAAAAAGACCCAUCCCAUGUAGAUUUUUAUAAGGUAAGGUAAUGGUUUGUUUUUAUUUGAAUUUUCCGGAUCAUUUCUAGGCUUGUCUCUAUGCUCUUUGUCCACUUAUUUAUGAUCCAUUUCUGCU